rnacentral:tRNA from 1 species
GGGAAUGUGGCUUAGUGGUAGAGUGCUUGCCUAGCAUGCAUGAAGUCCUGGGUUCAAUUCCCCAGUACCA